CAGUCGCCACGGUAAUACGGAGGAUCCAAGCGUUAUCCGGAAUCAUUGGGUUUAAAGGGUCCGUAGGCGGUCUUGUAAGUCAGUGGUGAAAGCCCAUCGCUCAACGGUGGAACGGCCAUUGAUACUGCAGGACUUAAAUUAUUGGGAAGUAACUAGAAUAUGUAGUGUAGCGGUGAAAUGCUUAGAGAUUACAUGGAAUACCAAUUGCGAAGGCAGGUUACUACCAAUUGAUUGACGCUGAUGGACGAAAGCGUGGGUAGCGAACAGGAUUAGAUACCCGUGUAGUCCCUGUCUCUUAUAA
rnacentral:rRNA from 1 species